UACAGAGACUGCAAGCGUUAUUCAGAUUCACUGGGCGUAAAGGGUGCGCAGGCGGCCAAGUGUGUCAGGUGUGAAAUCCCGAGGCUUAACCUCGGAACUGCGCCUGAAACUACUUGGCUAGAGUACUGGAGAGGGUAACGGAAUUCACGGUGUAGCAGUGAAAUGCGUAGAUAUCGUGAGGAACACCAGAGGCGAAGGCGGUUACCUGGACAGUUACUGACGCUCAGGCACGAAAGCGUGGGGAGCAAAAGGG
rnacentral:rRNA from 1 species